rnacentral:lncRNA from 1 species
GUUUAAAAUUUUCCAAUGGUUUACGGUUUAUCCAAAAUUUAAAGUUUAUAAUUUAUGGUUUGGAAUUUAGGAUUUAGGGAAUAGGAUUUAAUAUUUUGCUAACGGUUUAACAAUAUUUAUUUAUUUAUUUUUGUAACUAUUUUUAUGUAUUUUUAUUGUUUUCUUUUAAAAAUAUAAUCUUAUUUGAAAAUUUAAUGCUGUUUCCUUUUUUAAAAGAUUUCAAAUAUCAAAUACUCAAACACUAUUGGU